rnacentral:rRNA from 1 species
AUUGAACGCUGGCGGCAGGCCUAACACAUGCAAGUCGAACGAGUGGCGGACGGGUGCGUAAUGUCUGGGAAACUGCCUGAUGGAGGGGGAUAACUACUGGAAACGGUAGCUAAUACCGCAUACCAUCGGAUGUGCCCAGCUGGGAUUAGCUAGUGGGUGGGGUAACGGCUCACCAAGGCGACGAUCCCUAGCUGGUCUGAGAGGAGGACCAGCAAAACUGGAACUGAGACACGGUCCAGACUCCUACGGGAGGCAGCAGUGGGGAAUAUUGAACAAUGGGCGCAAGCCUGAUGCAGCCAUGCCGCGUGUAUGAAGAAGGCCUUCGGGUUGUAAAGUACUUUCAGCGGGGAGGCGUUACCCGCAGAAGAAGCACCGGCUAACUCCGUGCCAGCAGCCGCGGUAAUUC